rnacentral:snRNA from 1 species
GGAUGUGAGGGCAACCUGGCUGUGAUCUCUGUCAUGCCUUUGAUUGCCAGGCUUGAUUCUGUCCAUCUGGCUUCCUCUCUCACUGCUCCCUGUGCUUCCCUCAGUUGAAAAAGACAACCUUCCCCAGUAGAGAUGGGUAGAUGUUUCUUCUUCUGAUCCAGGGUAAUGAGAAGCUGCACUCCCUUGCUAGAACCUUCAAAUUCAGAAACAGUUGAUGGUCUCACAGGGUAGGGUAGAGGUUUGGGAUAGCAAAUGCUUCUCAUUUCUCAUG